ACAGCAGUCGCCACGGUAAUACGUAUGUCGCGAGCGUUAUCCGGAAUUAUUGGGCAUAAAGGGCAUCUAGGCGGCCGGAUAAGUCUGGGGUGAAAACCUGCGGCUCAACCGCAAGCCUGCCCUGGAAACUAUGCGGCUAGAGUACUGGAGAGGUGGACGGAACUGCACGAGUAGAGGUGAAAUUCGUAGAUAUGUGCAGGAAUGCCGAUGAUGAAGAUAGUUCACUGGACGGUAACUGACGCUGAAGUGCGAAAGCUAGGGGAGCAAACAGGAUUAGAUACCCCUGUAGUCCCUGUCUCUUAUAC
rnacentral:rRNA from 1 species